rnacentral:rRNA from 1 species
GAUGAACGCCGGCGGCGUGCCUAAUACAUGCAAGUCGAGCGAACAGACGAGGAGCUUGCUCCUCUGACGUUAGCGGCGGACGGGUGAGUAACACGUGGAUAACCUACCUAUAAGACUGGGAUAACUUCGGGAAACCGGAGCUAAUACCGGAUAAUAUAUUGAACCGCAUGGUUCAAUAGUGAAAGACGGUUUUGCUGUCACUUAUAGAUGGAUCCGCGCCGCAUUAGCUAGUUGGUAAGGUAACGGCUUACCAAGGCAACGAUGCGUAGCCGACCUGAGAGGGUGAACGGCCACACUGGAACUGAGACACGGUCCAGACUCCUACGGGAGGCAGCAGCAGGGAAUCUUCCGCGAAGGGCGAAAGCCUGACGGAGCAACGCCGCGUGAAUGAUGAAGGUCUUCUGAUCGUAAAACUCUGUUAUUAGGAAAGAACAAAUGUGUAAGUAACUAUGCACGUAUUGACGGUACCUACUCAGAAAGCCACGGCUAACUACGUG